AGGUUGAAUAGAGAUGGUCAUGUGACCAUGGGAUUGCGGGAUGAUGGCUCGGAUCGUGCCUAUGGUCGAUUUUAUCUCGCCUCUACAGAAAUGUGUCGCCACCCAGUGUGUCGUCAGGAUCAAUAAGCUCUGAAUAUUCCGCCAAGAGCAUCCUCACGGGUGAGAUCCCCGGCGGCAAACGAGCCACUUGAGGGAGGAAGACACACACUUACGACGUCACCGGAAACAGGGGGCAAACAGAAAGGCGAGCUGCUGUGUUGCUGCGCAUAUCUUCAAGUUCUCUCCCCUCCUGGGCUCCCAGCAACGACCAUCGCCGGUCGAUGCAGAGAUCAAGCGAUGGAGGGAUGGGAGGAAGUUUUUCACCUGGCCAGGGUGAGUAGCUUCUCGUUAGAACCGAGCGCCAUGUUCUUCUUCGUUGUCUUCUUCUCUUCUUGAAGACGACUGAAGUGAGGUUCAAAGCAAGUAAAAGUAUAUCACUUGUCUGGUAAGUGAUACAGAAAAACAGCAAACCUCCAUUUGACCUGAGAGGCUCUUUUUCCACCUUGGUCGAGAUAAGCAUCCUGCCCCGAGCACUACCACUGAAUAAAGAAAUGAAAAUUCACUUAUCUUCUUUACUGAAACCAAAUCGUAUUGCCUCGUUAGGUCCUAAGAGGAAACUCCAUUCCGAGGAAGUCUUCGAAAUAAAAUGAUUAUUUGGCUUUUUUAUUCAGGUCGAUGAGCUUAAAACCUGAAGCACGAAGCAUUUAAAGUUUUAAACCAGUUUUCUUAAAUCAUUUUUCCAUUCGUCUCAAUUAGGACGAGCUCACAAACACACAAAACACACACAGAUGCAUAACAUGUUUAACUCCAAGCAUGCACACACACACACACGGGCUUUAAUUUUAAAAUAUAUCCACCCAUAUCCAGUCGCUUUCCUUCCCUUACAAUCAAGUUGCCUUUUAAGAAUCAGACUUGGGGUAAAAAAAGAAGCUAAGCAGAUUGCUAUUCUUUACACUAGAGUUUUAAGCACGAACAAU